GGCGGGGUAGUCUAGCUUGGUAUGGCCCCUGGUUUGGGACCAGGUGAUCAGGAGUUCAAGUCUCCUCUCCGCCACCA
rnacentral:tRNA from 2 species